rnacentral:rRNA from 1 species
AUACGUAGGGGGCGAGCGUUGUCCGGAAUGAUUGGGCGUAAAGGGCGCGUAGGCGGCGCGGUAAGUCUGGAGUGAAAGUCCCGCAUUCAAUGUGGGAAUUGCUUUGGAUACUGCAGUGCUAGAGUGCGGAAGAGGUAAGUGGAAUUCCCAGUGUCGCGGUGAAAUGCGUAGAGAUUGGGAGGAACACCAGUGGCGAAGGCGACUUACUGGGCCGUAACUGACGCUGAGGCGCGAAAGCGUGGGGAGCGAACAGGAUUAGAUACCCUGGUAGUCCACGCGGUAAACGAUGAAUGCUAGGUGUUGCGGGUAUCGACCCCUGCAGUGCCGGAGUAAACACAAUAAGCAUUCCGCCUGGGGAGUACGGCCGCAAGGUUGAAACUCAAAGGAAUUGACGGGG